rnacentral:lncRNA from 1 species
AAACAGGGUCCAACUGGUCUAACAACCAAAACUCACGUGCCCUCGGCACAAACUGAUGCAAAACCUGCAAUCUGGGUCCACUGUCAACCCCGACAGCACCCAACAGUCAGAAACAGCCUAGACACUACUGUAAAAAAUAAGCUCUGCAUCUCCGCACGAGCGUAACUGCAUUCUACACUAUUCCGGAUAUCCACCGCCAACAAACUGCGGCGAUAUAGAUCUACUACAGCUCCUAUCCACCGCACUGAAACUGCGGUGAUACAAACCAACCCCGGCUCCUAGAGCUAAAUCAGGUAGUUUAAGCAUAUGACGGGUUAAAAUUGCUGGUUUUCUCCUAAGUCAAGUUCCAAGUCCAACAUAUAUAUUCAUCUAAUUAAUAGUCAUACUCCCAAUUCAGAUUUCAUACAUGCUACAAUCAAUGAAUUUGAGCUACAACAU